rnacentral:lncRNA from 1 species
CAGCUUUUGAAGGGGGUAAAUUAUUUAGACUAAGUGUAUGCUGCUAAGAGCAAAAAUUGUAUUCAAAGGUGGGAUACGUGUUAUGUGCAUAGAUCGGAAAAUGGAAAUAAAAAACGUGGUUAAAAUUCUAAAAACCAAAAAAAUUAAAUUGAAAAGUGUUGUGGCUGCAGAGAAACAAAAAAAUAAACCCAUAAUAUAGAGGUUUCUAAAGUAUGAAAGAAUAUCUGAAAAAAGUGACCUUAUUGCAUAAUUUCAUGUAUGUGCUGUACAUAGGUUAUGACCCACGUGUGGCAGAAUAAUUGCUGACCUGGCCGAUCUGGGCCUGACCACCACUUUCGGACUCGGGUGGUCCACUCCAACACCACGAUCAUCUUUUUUGGGCCACCGGACAUUGCCUGUCGGCAGAGACACAGAUGGACUUGGUUAGCGGGACCUAGGCAUACAUAUAUACAACGACAUACCUACGCACAGUUCAACAACAACAAUAUAAAACAAGAUAAUAUAUAGUGACCGUGCCUUGCAUAAUUUGAGAAAAAUUUCGUUCAGCGGUCAUUGCCCAUGCGGUUGACCAUACACCUAUGCGCACAUAAAUAGACUCACAUGGCCGUUUGUCAC